CCUACGGGUGGCAGCAGUGGGGGAUAUUGCGCAAUGGGCGAAAGCCUGACGCAGCGACGCCGCGUGGGUGAUGAAGGCCUUCGGGUCGUAAAGCCCUGUCGAGGGGGACGAACCGGUUGCGAUCGAAUAGAUCGCAGCCCUGACGGUACCCCUAAAGGAAGCACCGGCUAACUCCGUGCCAGCAGCCGCGGUAAUACGGAGGGUGCGAGCGUUGUUCGGAAUCACUGGGCGUAAAGCGCGUGUAGGCGGCCUGCUAAGUCUGAUGUGAAAGCCCGAGGCUCACCCUCGGAAGUGCAUUGGAAACUGGCAGACUGGAGUCCCGGAGAGGAGGGUGGAAUUCCUGGUGUAGCGGUGAAAUGCGUAGAUAUCAGGAGGAACACCGGUGGCGAAGGCGGCCCUCUGGACGGUGACUGACGCUGAGGCGCGAAAGCUAGGGGAGC
rnacentral:rRNA from 1 species